rnacentral:rRNA from 1 species
GUAGGUGGCAAGCGUUGUCCGGAAUUAUUGGGCGUAAAGCGCGCGCAGGUGGUUCGUUUAAGUCUGAUGUGAAAGACCCCCGGGCUCAACCGGGGGAGGGUCAUUGGAAACUCGGGGAACUUGAGUGCAGGAGAGGAAAGUGGAAUUCCACGUGUAGCGGUGAAAUGCGUAGAUAUGUGGAGGAACACCAGUGGCGAAGGCGACUUUCUGGCCUGUAACUGACACUGAGGCGCGAAAGCGUGGGGAGCAAACAGGAUUAGAUACCCUGGUAGUCCACGCCGUAAACGAUGAGUGCUAAGUGUUGGGGGGUUUCCGGCCCCUCAGUGCUGCAGCUAACGCAUUAAGCACUCCGCCUGGGGAGUACGGUCGCAAAGACUG